rnacentral:rRNA from 1 species
ACGGGUGAGUAACACGUGGUCAACCUACCGUCCUGUGGGGGAUAAACCAACCGAAAGGUUGGCUAAUACCGCAUACGUCUCGAUCGGCAUCGAUCGACGAUAAAAGGAGCAAUCCGCAAGACGACGGGACCGCGUCCCAUUAGCUAGUUGGUGAGGUAACGGCUCACCAAGGCAACGAUGGGUAGCUGGUCUGAGAGGACGAUCAGCCACACUGGGACUGAGACACGGCCCAG